rnacentral:lncRNA from 1 species
GAAUGGGUCAGAAGGGGCCUGGAAGGUCAGAGAAGGGGUCAGAAUAUGGGUUGGAAGGGGUCCUGGAAGGGCAGAGAAGGGGUUGGAGGGUCCUGGAAGGUCAGAGAAGGGGUCAGAAAGGACGUGGAAGGUCCUCAAAGGUCAGAAUAUGGGUUGGAAGGGUCCUGGAAGGUCAGAGAAGGGGUCAGAAGGGACGUGGAAGGUCAGAGAAGGUCAGAAUAUGGGUUGGNNNNNNNNNNNNNNNNNNNNNNNNNNNNNNNNNNNNNNNNNNNNNNNNNNCAAAGGUCAGAAUAUGGGUUGGAAGGGGUCCUGGAAGGUCAGAGAAGGGGUUGGAGGGUCAUGGAAGGUCACAGAAUGGGUCAGAAGGGACUUGAAGAUCAGAGAAGGGGUUGGAGGGUCCUGGAAGGUCAUAGAAUGGGUCAGAAGGGUCAUGGAAGGUCAGAGAAGGGGUCAGAAGGGACGUGGAAGGUCAGAGAAGGUCAGAAAAUGGGUUGGAAGGGUCCUGGAAGAUCACAGAAUGGGUCAGAAGGGUCCUGGAAGGUCAGAGAAGGGGUCAGAAGGGUCCUGGAAGGUCCUCAAAGGUCAGAAUAUGGGUUGGAAGGGGUCCUGGAAGGUCAGAGAAGGGGUUGGAGGGUCAUGGAAGGUCAAAGAAUGGGUCAGAAGGGUCCUGGAAGGUCAGAGAAGGGGUUCAAAGUUCCUGGAAGGACCUAAUAGGUCAGAGAAAGAGUUGGAAGGGUCCUGGAAGGUCACAGCGCCACAGAAUGGGUUGGGAAAGACCUGGAAGGUCUCAGAAGGACGGGUUGGGUUGGGAAGGUCCUGGAAGGUCAGAAUAUGGGUUGGGAAGGUCCUGGAAGGUCUCAGAAGGACGGGCUGGGUUGGGAAGGUCCUGGAAGGUCAGAAUAUGGGUUGGGAAAGACCUGGAAGGUCUCAGAAGGACGGGUUGGGUUGGGAAGGUCCUGGAAGGUCAGAAUAUGGGUUGGGAAGGUCCUGGAAGGUCUCAGAAGGACGGGUUGGGUUGGGAAGGUCCUGGAAGGUCAGAAUAUGGAUUGGGAAAGACCUGGAAGUUCUCAGAAGGAUGGGUUGGGUUGGGAAGGUCCUGGAAGGUCACAGCGCCAUAGAAUGGGUUGGGAAAGAUCUGGAAGGUCUCAGAAGGAUGGGUUGGGUUGGGAAGGUCCUGGAAGGUCAGAAUAUGGGUUGGGAAGGUCCUGGAAGAUCAGAAUAUGGGUUGGGAAGGUCCUGGAAGGUGCCAUACCAGUGGCGGUGUCGCCCAGCAGCGGCGCAGCGUUCAGCGUUGGCAUUCCCAUGAUGCCCUGGGGCAGCACCCUCAAUGGCGCCUCCCCCAGCAGCCCCGGCUUCUGCAACGCAACGCACCCAAAAUCCAACUUUUUCAACCCAAAACCGCCCCGAUCUCACCCCAAAUUUCCCCACCCUCCAACCCCAAAUUCCUCCGUUCCCCAAAUCUUCC